ensembl:lincRNA
AAUCAAAGAAGUGGCUUCCAUCACUUUUGUCAUCAUCUAUCGGUUAGAAGCAAGUCACAGGUCUUGCCCACACUCAGUGAGAGGGAUUACAUGAAUGUGUGACCACCAGGAGAUGGUAACAAUUGGGGUCAUGAGGGGAUAUGACUGCUACAAUCUCCCAUCAUCAAAAACAAAAACAGGAAUCUGGCUGCUCCUCCUUGCUGUCUUUUGCUCAUGAAGCUGCCUAAAGGGUGACUCAGCACUAUGCAACUUCCAGGUACCAACUGUGAGAUGCCAAAGUCCAUCCAAAGGAUGGACCCAAGGCUACUGGAUCUUAAGGUUUCAGACAAGUGUGUGAGACUUUGUACAUGAAGUUGGAGAAUGCCUCACUCUCUACCCUGUACAGGGUUGUGAUCCAGAGCUGGAUUUCAGACCCCUGUUUCUACAGGAACUCUAAACAAGCCCAGCAACCGUCAGCCAACUCAUAGCUGAAGCAGGGACACUGUGCAGCUCUUGGCGCUUGUUCUUAGUAUGUGUUCAGAGGGCUAAUACUCUGUCAAGCAGGGAGGAUGAUAGCCAGAGCAAACAGCCACGGUCCUCACGGUGGAAAAUAACGUUGCCAGAAAAUUCCGCACAUCUGGAAAGAACAGCAAUGAACAGGAACUUGUGCAUUCGUGCUAGGCUCCUACUGGGCCCGCUUCAUUUCAUUUCCUCCAUUUUUACGACACUUUCCUAUGCUGCUACUCCAGACAUUCCAUCAAACACCUCGCCACGAACAAAUUGAAAGGGAAGGAAAUCUAAAGAAAGUCUGACUGAAUUUCUGAGUGUCUCAUCACCAGAAUGACCAGGAAAACCUGCCAGGAGUGUAGGUUCAGGGCCCUAAUCCCACUUCUCUGCAGUCUCCUCUUGGUCUCUGUGUAUAAGCUCUCCUGCCUUUUUGCACCUCUAAUCCAUUGUCAGACAAACUGGCCUACUUGUGUUUGCCUCUGAGAGCCUGUCCACUUCCUCAUGUUAGGAGAAAGAACACAAAGAAUCCUAGCUUUGAUUCAGUUUUCCAUACUUCAGCCAUCAGUCUACCAUCAAGCACAUUUUUUACUGGGCAAAUGAAAAGUCAUUGCUUUCAAUUUUUCUUUUUUUUCUUUUUUUUAGACUGAAUCUCACUCUGUCACCCAGGCUGGAGUGCAGUGGCACAAUCUCGGCUCACUGCAACCUCUGCCUCCCAGGUUCAAGCAAUUCUCCUGCCUCAGCCUCCCAAGUGGCUGGGAUUGCAGGUGCCCACCACCAUGUUCAGCUAAUUUUUUUGUAUUUUGAGUAGAGACGGGGUUUCACCAUGUUGACUAGGCUGGUUUUAAACUCCUGACCUCAAAUGAUCCACCCAUCUCAGCCACCCAAAGUACUAGGAUAAUAGGUGUGAGCCACGGUACCCCGCCAAUAUUUUUGUUUCUAAUAAAACAAGAACUAGUAGUGCACUCCGUCUAGAGCAAGAUAGUGUGGUGGGGACAGGGAGCAAGUAGGUAGGGGAUAAAUAGGUCAAGAACUGAGUUCACAAUUGAGGCUUUAAGCUUGAUAAGAAAUAAAGCAAGUUUGAAUCAUCUGGGUCCCUGGGGAAGCAUUUGUUUAGAAAAAGAUCAAUAGUAAAUAAAAAUACCACACACCUAGUUUC